rnacentral:rRNA from 1 species
CGUGUAGGCGGCCAGGUAGGUCCGUUGUGAAAACUCGAGGCUCAACCUCGAGACGCCGGCGGAAACCCUUUGGCUAGAGUCCGGAAGAGGAGAGUGGAAUUCCUGGUGUAGCGGUGAAAUGCGCAGAUAUCAGGAAGAACACCCGUGGCGAAGGCGGCUCUCUGGGACGGUACUGACGCUGAGACGCGAAAGCGUGGGGAGAAC